UGCCAUUCACAUUGCUGCUCACAAAACA
rnacentral:piRNA from 1 species